AUGACAGCCAACGGGAUUAUCGAUGCAGAGCAAAUCGCCAAACAACAGCUAAGCUAGCGUGUGUCCCGUGUCGGCUAACAAUGCUACAUGAAGGCUAAACGUCCUAAAUACACGUACAAUGACACGCUGUGUUAGUCAGCGAGGACUGAAUAUAACAUUAACUACAGAUGACAGGAAGCAGUGCCCUGGAAAUAAAUACCUGUGGUAGGAGGCCUCUCCCAUGCUGCAUGAAAUUCCAUCCCUCCCUGGUUGAGUCUUUCCAACACCAUCCUCCUCCUGUUCCUCCACAGUUAUGUCUGUCUGGGAGAGGUUUGGCUCUGCGCAGCCAUGCUGUUUGUAUCGGCUGUGUUUUGGGCUCUGGCUGUUGUGCU